UUUUAGUUCUAAUGGGACAUGUCUCCUUUAAAUGCCAGAAAUCUAAGACAACAUAUAUAGGUAGUUUCUUGAUUGGUGUCGUAUUGAAUCCUGGGUAAGUGGACAGGAGAGAGCGUGGUGCAUCAAAGAAGGUGGCUGACUUGAGGGAAAGUUGGUGGUUUUUUACAUAAUAUUACGUCAGAUUAGCCAUACUGGUAUCAGCACACGUGUUGAGGAUCGGAAUGUGUGCGUGUUAACAGCAUGUAAGUGGGUAUUAUUUCUUUCAACAUACUGGUGUAUAUUUUGGUUUUAUGUAAUUGUUAGUGGUGUACUAAUGAUGUUUUUGUAUUUGUCUUUUUAGUAUCACCACUACCGUUUUGUACUGCUACAACUUAUUAUUUAUUUUAUUUUCUUACACGGCUAUUUGGGCUACAGUUUUGGAUAGGCUUAGCGCUAGCAUGUGUACCUGUUAAAAAUAUAUCAGAUAAAGAAUCCUGCUCUUUA